GCAGUAAGGAAUAUUGGUCAAUGGAGGCAACUCUGAACCAGCCAUGCCGCGUGCAGGAAGACAGCCCUCUGGGUCGUAAACUGCUUUUAUUCGGGAAUAAACCUCAAUACGUGUAUUGAGCUGAAUGUACCGAAGGAAUAAGGAUCGGCUAACUCCGUGCCAGCAGCCGCGGUAAUACGGAGGAUCCAAGCGUUAUCCGGAUUUAUUGGGUUUAAAGGGUGCGUAGGCGGCUUUUUAAGUCAGGGGUGAAAGACGGUAGCUCAACUAUCGCAGUGCCCUUGAUACUGAAGAGCUUGAAUGGACUAGAGGUAGGCGGAAUGUGACAAGUAGCGGUGAAAUGCAUAGAUAUGUCACAGAACACCGAUUGCGAAGGCAGCUUACUAUGGUUUUAUUGACGCUGAGGCACGAAAGCGUGGGGAUCAAACAGGAUUAGA
rnacentral:rRNA from 1 species